AUUGAACGCUGGCGGCGUGCCUAAUACAUGCAAGUCGAACGGUCUUUUCUAUGGAAGCUUGCUUCCACUGAGAAGAUAGUGGCGAACGGGUGAGUAACACGUGGGUAACCUGCCCAUAAGAGGGGGAUAACAUCCGGAAACGGGUGCUAAUACCGCAUAGUUUUCUUGAUCGCAUGAUUGAGAAAGGAAAGACGGCCUUUGUGCUGUCGCUUAUGGAUGGACCCGCGGCGUAUUAGUUAGUUGGUGAGGUAACGGCUCACCAAGACGAUGAUACGUAGCCGACCUGAGAGGGUGAUCGGCCACAUUGGGACUGAGACACGGCCCAAACUCCUACGGGAGGCAGCAGUAGGGAAUCUUCCGCAAUGGACGAAAGUCUGACGGAGCAACGCCGCGUGAGUGAAGAAGGUUUUCGGAUCGUAAAACUCUGUUGUCAGAGAAGAACAAGUUGGAGAGUAACUGCUCCAGCCUUGACGGUAUCUGACCAGAAAGCCACGGCUAACUACGUGCCAGCCGCCGCGGUAACAC
rnacentral:rRNA from 1 species